rnacentral:lncRNA from 1 species
UGGGGAUUGGGAUGGGGAUGGGAUGGGGAUGGGAUUGGGAUGGGGAUUGGGAUUAGGAUGGGGAAUGAGAAUUGGAUGGGAAUGGGGAUGGGAUUUGGAUGGGGAUGGGAUGGGAUGGGGACAGGACAGGGAUGGGAUGGGAUGGGGACAGGACACCAUUGCAUAGGACUGCACGGGGGCUGGUGGCCACAUUCCCGUGCCGGCCGCUCACCUGUACUGCGCCUGCUGCCACCCCGGCGUCCCUCUGUGCGCGGGGGCCGUGCCCGUGCCCACGCAGGGGCUGAUGAAGACGUUCUCAUAUUCGGGUGCCACGUUCGCACCCGGAGCAGCAGUGGCAGCGGUGGCAGCAGUGGGGCCGCUCUCAGCCCCGUGGCUGAUGUACCGGGGCUGCCCGUGGGCCCCGGCGGAUUCCCGUUUGCCCCAUCCCGCGGUGGUGGUGGUGGCACCGACGGCAGCGGCCACAACCUUUGGGCCUCCCGGGCACUGUCGCUCGUGGAAAUUGGAGACGUUGAAGGUGCCGUUGGGCGCAGCGCAGAGGCAGCUGAGGUUGGUGGCGCGGGCGCAGGCAUCCAGCACGCUGCGCACCGCGUCGCAGCGGCACGGCACGGUCAGGAGGCUCAAGCUGGGGUGGAAAACGCUGCUGGGGACGGCGGGCAGGGGGUUGUGCCCCAGGAGGAGCCGCCGCAGGCUCCGUGCCUGCUGCAGGAAGGCGUCGGGGAGCCGCCGCAGGGCGUUGUGCGACAGGUCCAGCUCCUCCAGAGUGGGAUCCACUUGGGAUGUGGGGCGCACGGCGCCGAUGCCGUUGUGGGCCAGGAGCAG